AGGGCACCACCAGGAGUGGAGCCUGCGGCUUAACUUGACUCAACACGGGGAAACUCACCCGGCCGGGACACAAUAAGGAUUGACAGAUUGAUAGCUCUUUCUUGAUUUUGUGGGUGGUGGUGCAUGGCCGUUCUUAGUUGGUGGAGCGAUUUGUCUGGUUAAUUCCGAUAACGAACGAGACUCUAGCCUAUUAAAUAGACGAUAUAUUAUUAGUUUAUCGAGCUUCUUAGAGGGACAGGCAGCUUCUAGCUGCACGAGAUUGAGCAAUAACAGGUCUGUGAUGCCCUUAGAUGUCCGGGGCUGCACGCGCGCUACAAUGAUAAUAGCAGCGUGCAUUAAAACCUUUUCUGGUAAGAAUUGGUAAACACGAAAUAUUGUCGUGCUUGGGAUAGGGGAUUGAAAUUAUUGCCCUUAAACGAGGAAUUCCCAGUAAGUGCGAGUCAUUAGCUUGCGUUGAUUACGUCCCUGCCCUUUGUACACACCGCCCGUCGCUACUACCGAUUGGAAGAUUUAGUGAAU
rnacentral:rRNA from 1 species